rnacentral:rRNA from 1 species
GACGAACGCUGGCGGCGUGCUUAACACAUGCAAGUCGAACGAAGUGGCGAACGGGUGAGUAAUACGUGGGUAACCUGCCCUCCUUUUUGGGAUAAGCCUUGGAAACGGGGUCUAAUACCGACUAACGGGGGAUGGGCUCGCGGCCUAUCGGCUUGUUGGUGGGGUGAUGACCUACCAAGGCGGUGCCGGGUAGCCGGCCUGAGAGGGGGACCUGCCACAUUGGGACGGAGAAACGGCCCAGAGUAGGAAGGGAUGAAGAAGUUGGGGAAAUUGGACAAAGGGCGAAAGACUGAUGCCGCGAGGCCGCGUGGGGGAUGAAGGCUUUAGAGUAGUAAACCUGUUGCGGAAGGGAACGGGUAGGUGGAGAAGAAGCACCGGCUAACUACGUGCCAGCAGCCGCGGUAAUUC